rnacentral:rRNA from 1 species
AGAGUUUGAUCAUGGCUCAGAAUCAACGCUGGCGGCGCGCCUAACACAUGCAAGUCGAACGAGAAAGUGGAGCAAUCCAUGAGUACAGUGGCGUACGGGUGAGUAACACGUGGGUAAUCUACCUCUUAGUGGGGAAUAACUCUGGGAAACCGGAGCUAAUACCGCAUAAGCUCGAGAGAGGAAAGUCGCAAGACGCUGAGAGAGGAGCCCGCGGCCGAUUAGCUAGUUGGCAGGGUAACAGCCUACCAAGGCAAAGAUCGGUAGCCGGCCUGAGAGGGCACACGGCCACACUGGCACUGAAACACGGGCCAGACUCCUACGGGAGGCAGCAGUGGGGAAUCUUGCACAAUGGGGGAAACCCUGAUGCAGCGACGCCGCGUGAGCGAUGAAGCCCUUCGGGGUGUAAAGCUCUUUCGUCAGGGAAGAUGAUGACGGUACCUGGAGAAGCAGCUGCGGCUAACUACGUGCCAGCAGCCGCGGUAAUACGUAGGCAGCGAGCGUUGUUCGGAGCUACUGGGCGUAAAGGGUGUGUAGGCGGUUGUUUAAGUUUGGUGUGAAAUCUCCCGGCUCAACUGGGAGGGUGCGCCGAAUACUGAGCGACUCGAGUGCGGGAGAGGAAAGUGGAAUUCCUGGUGUAGCGGUGAAAUGCGUAGAUAUCAGGAGGAACACCGGUGGUGUAGACGGCUUUCUGGACCGUAACUGACGCUGAGACACGAAAGCGUGGGUAGCAAACAGGAUUAGAUACCCUGGUAGUCCACGCCCUAAACGAUGCAUAUUUGGUGUGGGCAGUUCAUUCUGUCCGUGCCGGAGCUAACGCGUUAAAUAUGCCGCCUGGGGAGUACAGUCGCAAGGCUGAAACUCAAAGGAAUUGACGGGGGCCCGCACAAGCGGUGGAGCAUGUGGUUCAAUUCGACGCAACGCGAAGAACCUUACCUGGGCUCGAACGGCUGGUCAACGGAGGUGGAAACACUUUUACCCCGCAAGGGGGUCCAGUCGAGUGCCGCAUGGCUGUCGUCAG